rnacentral:lncRNA from 1 species
UUCUCCUAGCAAGAUUUUUUUUUGCAGUUUUCCAGAAAUGAGCAAAAUCAGUCUGCAUGAAGCCUGCCAGAGUCCUGGACCUCAGUUGCAUAGAGUUGAGCAGACUGACCUGGAAUCGAGGCUGACAACAAAAAGGAAGAAGAAAGUGUCACAUCACCUGAUGAAAUUAAGCUUUUUAUUCUCUGCCUAAAUCUUCUGUCUGGUAGCAAAGUAAGUACAUUAUGAUAAUAAAUAUAGUCUUACUAGAAGGUCUCUGCCA